AUAUAGUAACAAUGACUAAGAUCAAGUGUAGUAUCUGUUCUUAUCAGUUUAACAUCUGAUAUGUAGCUUGUUGAGUUGCACGAUAUUAAAUUAUUUUUUUGAGGGGAAGAUGUCACCAGAGUAACUUGCCUUUGGGUUUCUCCCGUGUAGCCAAUGUGUUUCACUAUUGCAUUGGCUAGUGCAUGCCAC